rnacentral:rRNA from 1 species
CCUACGGGAGGCAGCAGUGAGGAAUAUUGGUCAAUGGACGCGAGCCUGAACCAGCCAAGCCGCGUGAGGGAAGACGGUCCUAUGGAUUGUAAACCUCUUUUGUCGGGGAGCAAAAGCUGCUACGCGUCGCCGUCUGAGAGUAACCGAAGAAAAAGCAUCGGCUAACUCCGUGCCAGCAGCCGCGGUAAUACGGAGGAUUCGAGCGUUAUCCGGUUUUAUUGGGUUUAAAGGGUGCGCAGGCGGUCGAUUAAGUCAGCGGUAAAAUCGCGGGGCUCAACCCCGACCAGCCGUUGAAACUGGUUGGCUAGAGAGGGAGAGAAGUAGGCGGAAUGCGUGGUGUAGCGGUGAAAUGCAUAGAGAUCACGCAGAACUCCGAUUGCGAAGGCAGCAUACCGGCGCACAACUGACGCUGAGGCACGAAAGCGUGGGGAUCGAACAGGAUUAGAUACCCCAGUAGUC